AGGGCCCAAAUAGCGCCGGAACCUUUCGUUCGAGAAUGAAAAGAAAGCGGAGAAUAUGGGUUUGAGACGAAAGGUUGACGAGGUGAGGGAUCUCGAAGUCUUCGGCGGGUGACCUCCGGCUUCCCGACAGUCGUCAAAUCACGAACAAAGGUCGUUUGUAAAGACGACACAAAAACGUGUAGUUGGGACC
rnacentral:ncRNA from 1 species